GCCGCAGUAGCUCAGUGGUAGAGCGCACCCUUGGUAAGGGUGAGGCCGAGUGUUCAAUCCACUCCUGCGGCACCA
rnacentral:tRNA from 3 species